rnacentral:rRNA from 1 species
GCCCUUGUAAAUAAUCAAAGGUGUCACCUGCCCAGUGAUUUUUAAAGAAAAAUAAUAAAAUUAUUUUAAGAAAAUUAAAAGGACGCGGUAACCUUGACUGUGAUAAUGUAGCAUAAUCAUUCGCCAUUUAAUUGAUGGAUAGUAUGAAUGGUUUAACGAAUAUUACACUAUCUAAAAAAUAGAUCUCAUAAAAAUGAAAUAAUAGUUAAGAUGCUAUUUAAAAUUGUAAGACGAAAAGACCCUAUAGAGCUUAACUAUAAUCUUUUUUUAUUAACGAAAAUAAAUUUUUCUCAAUAGAAAGAUUGGUAGUUUAGUUGGGGCGACUAUUUUCUAAAAAUAACGAAAAUAAGCAAAAUUAAUAAAAUAAUUUAUUGUAUAAUUAACAAAUUUAACAAUUACAAAAGUAGGCUAUAAUGACCCGUUAUUGUUAUAUAAUAAAAAAUAACGAUUAAUGAAUAAAAGCUACCUUAGGGAUAACAGGAUAAUUUUAUCUAAGAGUCCUUAUCGAAGAUAAAGUUUGUCACCUCUAUGUUGAAUUAAGAUGUCCAAAUAGUGCAGAAGCUAUUAAAGGUAGGUCUGUUCGACCUUUAAAAUCUU